UUUUUGGGGAAUAAAUUUUAAAAGUUUUCGUUGGAACCAGCGGAGGGGAUCAUUACCGAAGUUUACAACUUCCCAAACCCAAUGUGAACGUUACCAAACUGAUUGCCUCGGCGGGGUCACGCCCCGGGUGCGUAAAAGCCCCGGAACCCAGGCGCCCGCCGGAGGAACCAACCAAACUCUUUCUGUAGUCCCCUCGCGGACGUAUUUUCUUACAGCUCUGAGCAAAAAUUCAAAAUGAAUCAAAACUUUCAACAACGGAUCUCUUGGUUCUGGCAUCGAUGAAGAACGCAGCGAAAUGCGAUAAGUAAUGUGAAUUGCAGAAUUCAGUGAAUCAUCGAAUCUUUGAACGCACAUUGCGCCCGCCAGUAUUCUGGCGGGCAUGCCUGUCCGAGCGUCAUUUCAACCCUCGAACCCCCUCCGGGGGAUCGGCGUUGGGGAUCGGGACCCCUCACCGGGUGCCGGCCCUGAAAUACAGUGGCGGUCUCGCCGCAGCCUCUCCUGCGCAGUAGUUUGCACAACUCGCACCGGGAGCGCGGCGCGUCCACGUCCGUAAAACACCCAACUUCUGAAAUGUUGACCUCGGAUCAGGUAGGAAUACCCGCUGAACUUAAGCAUAUCAAUAAGCGGAGGAAAAGAAACCAACAGGGAUUGCCCCAGUAACGGCGAGUGAAGCGGCAACAGCUCAAAUUUGAAAUCUGGCCCCUCCGGGUCCGAGUUGUAAUUUGUAGAGGAUGCUUUUGGUGAGGUGCCGCCCGAGUUCCCUGGAACGGGACGCCACAGAGGGUGAGAGCCCCGUCUGGCUGGCCACCGAGCCUCUGUAAAGCUCCUUCGACGAGUCGAGUAGUUUGGGAAUGCUGCUCAAAAUGGGAGGUAUAUGUCUUCUAAAGCUAAAUAUUGGCCAGAGACCGAUAGCGCACAAGUAGAGUGAUCGAAAGAUGAAAAGCACCUUGAAAAGAGGGUUAAACAGUACGUGAAAUUGUUGAAAGGGAAGCGCUUGUGACCAGACUUGGGCGCGGCGGAUCAUCCGGGGUUCUCUCCGGUGCACUUCGCCGCGUUCAGGCCAGCAUCAGUUCGUCGCGGGGGAAAAAGGCUUCGGGAACGUGGCUCCUCCGGGAGUGUUAUAGCCCGUUGCAUAAUACCCUGCGGUGGACUGAGGACCGCGCUCGCAGAUGCGCAUCCGUAAGGUCCCCACGAACUU
rnacentral:rRNA from 1 species